GAAUGGUGUGGGUUUCAAGUUCCAGACAAGAGAGACCCAGGGCCAGGUUCACUGACCUGUAAAACCUAAUAUAUUUGCUAUCUGACCCUGCUCCUCAUGUGAGGCUGUGCACGUCAGACUCAAAACUGCUCUGGUUCCCUCCUUUUCUGCUAAUCCAUUCUCUUCCUCCCUGGGCGUUGUUCUCACAUCGCACCUUGCAACUCCUGCUCCCAAAAUGGAGGAUGCGCUUUCUGUGUUCUAAAUUCCAGAUGCAGACUUUUUACCUGGAGCUCAGGUGUGGCUUGGACUGUGGCUCCUGCAGCACCUGGGAACGGCUAAAGAGACAUUCUCAGUCUGCAUUGACCUGCACCCUCCCACUGCCCUCUGCGCAUGGACUCGUCUAGGAAAUGCCAGCUCACAUCAGUGGCUUGGAUGUAAUGAUUGUCCACAUGGAACGAGGCUGCAUAAUUGAUCUGUUUCUGCUCCAACUGGUACCGUGCCACCGCCCUCACAUGUGGUUUGGAGAGCUGAGGAUGGACACCCUGCAUGCUGUGAGCUCUCUGGGAUGACGUCCAGCUGUCUGUUGAUAGUGUCCUUGUGGCUCCAACAGGAUGACAAAACUCUCUGGAGCUGACCCACUGCUGCCUGAAAUGACUUCCCCAGAUGACCCUUUGUCCAAGAGCCCUGGCCCUCCCUCCACUGCUCUCCCUGACUCUCCUCUCAUAUGAAUUCCCUCCAUCCUUUAUGAGAAAAUCACUCAUUUUAUGUAUUAUGCCAUCACUAUGAGGCAGGAACACAGAUUUGGGUCUAAACCACACGUGCUUUAUAAAAUAUUUCUUCCAGAUUUUUAUCCCUCAGUCAUGUGGGAUUUGGGUGGAAAAUUAGGGAAAUAAUUCACCUCAUGGAGAGAUUUCCAUUCUUUGGGAACUCCCACGUCUGACUGGAGACACACAUGUGUCCUCAUUUCAAUGAGGAAAUCCUGGAUUAACUGUGUGUGUAGCUCUGCUGUCUUCUAUCAGCUCUGCAGAAGUGAUGGCCUCAGAGCCAGAGUCAUGGUUGAUGCUGCCUCAUUGAGUAUCACAGGUUAGGACGGACUGAAGAGGACAACUUAGGGCCAAACUUCAAUAUGGAACCACCAGGGGUUGUGAUUCUGUUUUGCUUCGUGCAAUCUUUUCUUCUUCCCAUAAAUUUUCUUUAUUCAGAUUUAAAAAGUUUUGUUUCUACAAAACCCAUGAAAAUGCCAGCAGGUCUUGGUGAGCUCUCAUUAUGUAGACUCAUCAGUGUGUAGGAUGCUGUGUGGUUCUGGGGUGACUCCAGGAUGAUGAGCACUUGGUGUGUGGAUGAGUAACAUGGACAUUGUGACAGAGAAGGUCACUGUCCUGCCUGAUGGGUAGCAGGACUCUGGUGGCUGAUUCUCAAGGCCUUGUGCACAGGCUCCACAGUCUACCCAAGAACAAUGGAGAACACACUUGACCUGAUGUGGUUGUGGGCCAACUGUCUGCUUCCAUAGAACGCUUCCUUCUAGAGGAUCCCUGAGAAUCCUGAGUUAGAGGUCCAGUAUGGAGGAGGCUGCCAGAGGAGUGGAAUUCUGAGUUGCCUCUUCAGUUGUAAGCUGUGAACCCAGAGAAACAUGCUGGCUGUAGAUCAUGAAGAGACUGUUCAGUACAAUGAGAGAAGGCAGCCUGAAUCUGUUUUCGACGCCCACUGAAACGCUGGUUCUUCCAGGGGCUGAUGCCUGCUGGUCUCUGGACUAGAACCACGCCAUCAGCUCUGUUGGGUCUCUGGUUUACCACUCAUCCUCAAGAUCCAGGACUUGCCAGAUUCCAUAAUCUCUUGAGUCAUGUAAGCCAAUUCCUUAAAAUAAAUCUGUUUACACACACA